rnacentral:rRNA from 1 species
GACGUAGGGCGCAAGCGUUGUCCGGAUUUAUUGGGCGUAAAGAGCUCGUAGGCGGCUCGUUGCGUCGGCUGUGAAAACCCACGGCUUAACCGUGGGCCUGCAGCCGAUACGGGCGAGCUAGAGUUCGGUAGGGGAGACUGGAAUUCCUGGUGUAGCGGUGAAAUGCGCAGAUAUCAGGAGGAACACCGGUGGCGAAGGCGGGUCUCUGGGCCGAAACUGACGCUGAGGAGCGAAAGCGUGGGGAGCGAACAGG